rnacentral:tRNA from 1 species
GUCGCCAUGGCUGAGUGGUUAAAGGUACAUGUUUGCUACACAUGGGGAGAAAUCCUACGCAGGUUCGAAUCCUGUUGGUGACG